GGCGAGAUAGCUCAGUUGGUAGAGCGACGGCUUGAAGAGCCGUGCGUCCUCGGUUCGAUUCCGAGUCUCGCCACCA
rnacentral:tRNA from 1 species